GUCUCCCCGACUUGGGACCGGUCCCCGAGAGCUUCAGCUCGGGUCACGCGUUCGGGUACUGGUCUCUCCCAGAGAGACCGGUCCUCGGGAGACCGGUCCUUGCCUGAGAGACCGGUCCCCGAGAGCAAUAUUUCCAGGACUUAGCCAAAUUUCUGGCUUUCUCGCUGGGUUCACGUUCGGGGACCGGUCCCUCCCUACCAGGGACCGGUCGCCUCAAGCAACCCCGCAACACCAGCUGAUGGACCGAGAGCAGUUUUGCUCCAGUGCAGGUUUCACACUAUUUGCUCUCGC
rnacentral:lncRNA from 1 species